UUCACAUGUAUACGUCAUAUUUUACGUCACGAACGCAGAAGAGAUCAGAAAUGUAGGAUGAUUUUAAAUAAAAGCAAAUGGCUAUUAUAGUACACAAGCUUAGUACUAAGAUUUGUCUGGGUGUAGUGACUAGUCUAAAGACUAUGACUAUAAUUUCAAGAUCCUGGCAUUCUCGAGAAGUGGAUAUAAAGAUUGUGUUCUAUACUGAAUCUGGAUAAAAUCCAAACUUGUGCUAUGCUUUGGUUAACACGUCAGAAAGGGAGAAGUGGAUGGAAAGACUUGAAGGGCUAAAUGAAUUUAGGAAAACUAAUGAAGCGCCAAAGAACAAGAAGAAUAGAAAUAUCUAAAUGUUAUCAUUUGCAGGAAUUAAAUUCAUUUUAAUUCUGAGAAUUGUUGUGGUUAUUUUUCUCUAGCUAUGAUUUUAGAUAAACUCAAGUGGCUUGGAAAGGAAAACCAAUGAAAUUUCUCAAGAUCAAUU